rnacentral:rRNA from 1 species
AGGCCUGUCGUCAACUCGGGUCGUGAGAUGUUGGGUUAAGUCCCCCACCGAGCGCAACCCUUUUCCUUACUUGCCAGCAUUUCGGAUGGGAACUUUAAGGAUACUGCCAGUGCCAAACUGGAGGAAGGCGGGGACGACGUCAAGUCAUCAUGGCCCUUACGGCCAGGGCUACACACGUGCUACAAUGGUCGGUACAAAGGGUUGCUACACAGCGAUGUGAUGCUAAUCUCAAAAAGCCGAUCGUAGUCCGGAUUGGAGUCUGCAACUCGACUCCAUGAAGUCGGAAUCGCUAGUAAUCGCGGAUCAGAAUGCCGCGGUGAAUACGUUCCCGGGCCUUGUACACACCGCCCGUCACACCAUGGGAGUUUGUUGCACCAGAAGUAGGUAGUCUACCCCCAAGGAGCCACGCUUACCACCGGUGUACCCCAUCACCGGGGGCAGUCGUCACAA